UCCCGAAGCAACCAUGCCCCGAGAGGACCU
rnacentral:sRNA from 1 species